AUGACUUUGGUUUGGAAUCUGUCAAGGAAACUCAUGCAGUCGAUCAACACAGAAACAGAAGAAAGCUUUGAUGACAGCAAGGUUUAUUCUGAGAAGAAGGAGAAUGUGAAUUAUUCGGCCAUCUCCACAGGAUAUUUUCCAUAUUACAGAUCGAAUGAGGAGCAGUUUGUCCAGCCACUCCUAUAUGGCUUAAAUGCAGAGGGAGAGAAGCCUGAAAGCAACUGGAAAGAUGAAGGAGAAGGUGGAUUUGGUGGAGAUGCUGAGAAGACCACCCGCCCAGCUUUGGGGGCAGAGAGGAAGCCGUGUUCUUCCAUGGCCAAUAGAGAGCCAACAUCCCAGCAGCUCCUAGGAGGCAGCACCUUGGGAAGCUGCCUGCCAACCUUCACCCUCCCCACCACACUGCCAAGCCUGGACCGGCCCUUUUCUUCCCCUGGCUACGUCCCUUACUACAGAACAGAAGCAGAGCUCUGCAUCGGCCCAGCAGUGUGUGACAGGUUUCUCACCAGGACAGAAAUUUUGCAGAAUGAAGAGGGAAGAUGGGUAGAAGAAAAAAACACUUGGAAUUUUGGAGCCAGCUGCUUGGUGUCCUGAGAACAAAGCAAGUUUGUCAGCAAAAGGCAGAAACUGGUUUAACGUAGACGUGAAUUAGAAGUGCUUGAAAGCUACAGCCACGUGAACAGCUGUAUGAAUAUGGAAUAAGUGUACUUCUCCCUUUGAAUAAAACAGUAAGUGAAAAGCUGGACUCUGUAAUG
rnacentral:lncRNA from 1 species